rnacentral:rRNA from 1 species
UGGGCCGUGUACUCGGAUUGUCAGAUAGUGGCGAAAGGGUGAGUAAUGCUUAGAUAACCUACCCUCAAGAUUGGAAUAACGGUUGGAAACGACCGCUAAUACCUGAUAUGGUCAAUCGGGCGCAUGUUCGGAUGAUCAAAGGAGGGUUAAUCUUUCCUUCCACUUGAGGAGGGGUCUAAGUCCUAUUAGCUUGUUGGUAGGGUAAUGGCUUACCAAGGCUACGAUGGGUACGGGGCCUGAGAGGGUGUUCCCGCACACUGGGACUGAGACACUGCCCAGACUCCUACGGGAGGCUGCAGUCGAGAAUCUUUUGCAAUGGGCGAAAGCCUGACAAUGCGACGCCGCGUGGAGGAUGAAGGCCUUCGGGUUGUAAACUCCUGUCAGAGGUUAUGAAAUGUUGUGGUGUUAAUACCACCAUAACUUGACGAAAGCUUCAGAGGAAGCUCCGGCUAACUCCGUGCCAGCAGCCGCGGUAAUACGGAGGGAGCAAGCGUUGUUCGGAAUUACUGGGCAUAAAGGGUGUGUAGGCGGUGUGGAAAGUGGGUGGUGAAAUCCUUCGGCUUAACCGAAGAACUGCAGUCCAAACUUCUACACUUGAGUAGGGAAGGGGAGAGUGGAACUCUUGGUGGAGCGGUGAAAUGCGUAGAUAUCAAGAGGAACACCGGUGGCGAAGGCGACUCUCUGGUCUCUAACUGACGCUGAGGCACGAAAGCUAGGGGAGCAAACAGGAUUAGAUACCCUGGUAGUCCUAGCCGUAAACGAUGGGCACUAAGUAGAGGGGGUUCUCAUGCCUUUUCUGCUGAAGCUAAUGUGUUAAGUGCCCCGCCUGGGGAGUAUGGUCGCAAGGCUAAAACUCAUGGAAUUGACGGGGGCUCGCACAAGCGGUGUAGUAUGUGGUUUAAUUCGAGGCUACGCGAAGAACCUUACCUGGGUUUGACAUGAUAGAAGUAGGAA